GAUGAACGCUGGCGGCGUGCCUAAUACAUGCAAGUCGAGCGAACAGACGAGGAGCUUGCUCCUCUGACGUUAGCAGCGGACGGGUGAGUAACACGUGGAUAACCUACCUAUAAGACUGGGAUAACUUCGGGAAACCGGAGCUAAUACCGGAUAAUAUAUUGAACCGCAUGGUUCAAUAGUGAAAGACGGUUUUGCUGUCACUUAUAGAUGGAUCCGCGCCGCAUUAGCUAGUUGGUAAGGUAACGGCUUACCAAGGCAACGAUGCGUAGCCGACCUGAGAGGGUGAUCGGCCACACUGGAACUGAGACACGGUCCAGACUCCUACGGGAGGCAGCAGUAGGGAAUCUUCCGCAAUGGGCGAAAGCCUGACGGAGCAACGCCGCGUGAGUGAUGAAGGUCUUCGGAUCGUAAAACUCUGUUAUUAGGGAAGAACAAAUGUGUAAGUAACUGUGCACGUCUUGACGGUACCUAAUCAGAAAGCCACGGCUAACUACGUG
rnacentral:rRNA from 1 species